UUGAAUCGAUCAGUGUACGGACACUUUCAGUGUGUGACAAAUAACGUUGGAAACUCGAUCCAGGCGGUAGAUUCCCGUGCAACGCAACUUGAAAAGCGCUUACUAACGGCUAUGAGAGUACCACCCCCGCUUUGUUUAUCCGAGUUCGAUGAUGUUCUAUCGCAGCGGUGAACGAAAAUGUAGACAUCAUAAUCAUCUUCGAGCGCUGCCAUGAAAAUCAACGCAGUGCGUUUUGUGCUACGGAUGCUGUUCAUAUUUUGACGACCGAGUUGAACAGCCAGUGCGAACAAUAGCAGUGUCGGACGGUAACGCGUGCAAAGGAGACCCAAUCACAUUUUUAGGCUGUGCGUGCAGUUGUUGCUGCGGCACGACAGUUGGCAAAGAAAACAAUGAGGAACGAUUUGUAUCCA